GGUACCUACCCUGGGGUUCUGAUAGCCAUCAGAGAUGGUGGGUAAUACCGGAUGACCUCGUGAGAGCAAAGAUUCAUCGCCCUGGGAGGGGCCCAUGUGAUAUUAGCUAGUCGGCGGGGUAAAGGCCCACCAAGGCUUAGAUGUCUAGCGGGUGUGAGAGCACGACCCGCGCCACUCGCACUGAGACACUGGCGAGACACCUACGGGUGGCUGCAGUCGAGGAUCUUCGGCAAUGGGGGCAACCCUGACCGAGCGACGCCGCGUGUGCGACGAAGGCCUUCGGGUUGUAAAGCACUGUCGAGGGGGAGAAAAGCCGAAAGGUGUGAUCUAUCCCUGGAGGAAGCUCGGGCUAAGUUCGUGCCAGCAGCCGCGGUAAGACGAACCGAGCGAACGUUGUUCGGAAUAACUGGGCUUAAAGGGCGCGUAGGCGGGCCGCCAAGUUCGAGGUGAAAUCCUCCGGCUCAACCGGAGAACUGCCUCGAAUACUGGAGGCCUCGAGGCGGGUAGGGGCGUGCGGAACUGUGGGUGGAGCGGUGAAAUGCGUUGAUAUCCACAGGAACUCCGGUGGCGAAGGCGGCACGCUGGACCCGAUCUGACGCUGAGGCGCGAAAGCCAGGGGAGCAAACGGGAUUAGAUACCCUGGUAGUCC
rnacentral:rRNA from 1 species